AUUGAACGCUGGCGGCAUGCCUUACACAUGCAAGUCGAACGGCAGCACGGGAGCAAUCCUGGUGGCGAGUGGCGAACGGGUGAGUAAUAUAUCGGAACGUGCCCGGUCGUGGGGGAUAACGUAGCGAAAGCUACGCUAAUACCGCAUACGAUCUACGGAUGAAAGCGGGGGAUCGCAAGACCUCGCGCGAUUGGAGCGGCCGAUAUCAGAUUAGGUAGUUGGUGAGGUAAAGGCUCACCAAGCCGACGAUCUGUAGCUGGUCUGAGAGGACGACCAGCCACACUGGGACUGAGACACGGCCCAGACUCCUACGGGAGGCAGCAGUGGGGAAUUUGGACAAUGGGCGCAAGCCUGAUCCAGCAAUGCCGCGUGCAGGAUGAAGGCC
rnacentral:rRNA from 1 species